UACGAAGGGGGGCUAGCGUUGCUCGGAAUCACUGGGCGUAAAGCGCACGUAGGCGGAUUGUUAAGUCAGGGGUGAAAUCCCGAGGCUCAACCUCGGAACUGCCUUUGAUACUGGGGAUCUCGAGUCCGGGAGAGGUGAGUGGAACUGCGAGUGUAGAGGUGAAAUUCGUAGAUAUUCGCAAGAACACCAGUGGCGAAGGCGGCUCACUGGCCCGGAACUGACGCUGAGGCGCGAAAGCGUGGGGAGCAAACAGG
rnacentral:rRNA from 1 species